rnacentral:rRNA from 1 species
CUACGGGACGCACCAGUGAGGAAUUUUGCGCAAUGGGGGGAACCCUGACGCAGCAACGCCGCGUGAGUGAAGAAGGCCUUUGGGUCGUAAAGCUCUGUCAACUGGGAAGAAAUUAGAGUUGUUUAACAGAUGAUUCUAUUGACGGUACCAGUGGAGGAAGCGCCGGCUAACUCCGUGCCAGCAGCCGCGGUAACACGGGGGGCGCAAGCGUUAUUCGGAAUUAUUGGGCGUAAAGGGCGCGCAGGCGGUCUUGUCGGUCAGGUGUGAAAGCCCGGGGCUCAACCCUGGAAGUGCACUUGAAACAGCAAGACUUGAGUACGGGAGAGGAAAGCGGAAUUCCUGGUGUAGAGGUGAAAUUCGUAGAUAUCAGGAGGAACACCGAUGGCGAAGGCAGCUUUCUGGACCGAUACUGACGCUGAGGCGCGAAGGCGUGGGUAGCGAACGGGAUUAGAUACCCGCGUAGUC